UACAGAGGUGGCAAGCGUUGUUCGGAAUUACUGGGCGUAAAGGGCGCGUAGGCGGCCAUCUAAGUCAGACGUGAAAUCCCCCGGCUUAACCUGGGAACUGCGUCUGAUACUGGAAGGCUCGAGUUUGGGAGAGGGAUGUGGAAUUCCAGGUGUAGCGGUGAAAUGCGUAGAUAUCUGGAGGAACACCGGUGGCGAAGGCGGCAUCCUGGACCAACACUGACGCUGAGGCGCGAAAGCUAGGGGAGCAAACAGG
rnacentral:rRNA from 1 species